rnacentral:snRNA from 1 species
AUCGCUUCUCGGCCUUUUGGCUAAGAUCAAGUGUAGUUAUGCAUUCAAUACAUAGACAUCACACACACAUUGACAGAUGUGGUAGUAUAUUUAUUAUGACUGUUAGUUUUAUUUCAAAUAUGCAUUAUUAUGAAAUAUUAUUGC